rnacentral:rRNA from 1 species
UACGUAGGGUGCAAGCGUUAAUCGGAAUUACUGGGCGUAAAGCGUGCGUAGACGGUCAUGUAAGUCGGGUGUGAAAGCCCCGGGCUCAACCUGGGAAUUGCAUUCGAGACUGCAUGGCUAGGAUGCGGAAGAGGGAAGCGGAAUUUCCGGUGUAGCGGUGAAAUGCGUAGAUAUCGGAAGGAACACCAGUGGCGAAAAGCGGCUUCCUGGUCCAGCAUCGACG